ensembl:lncRNA
CGGUUCUGCCUCCCCCCGCCCCCCUUACUUAGACCCAUUGGAGGGAGGUCUUAUCAGGGAGGUUGUGGGCGAUUCUCCUGGGACCAGAAGAAAGGGGUCAGGGCUCCAAGCCCAGGCCUACGGAUGGGGGUGGAAGUCAUUUGGGAGCCCCCUGGUCUGUCUUGCCAAUCAAACGUGAAUUAAAGCAGGGUUGAGAUGAAGUAGCUGGAAUGAUCAGCUGCAGAAUGAGAGCUGGGGGUGGGAAAAGAUUUAGGGACAAGGAGACCCUGCCCUGGCUACCAAAGAGAAACUCAAGACCCAGCCUGCAGUGGAGUGAGAAAACCCUACUGAGUUAGCCAAGGGGAUAGGGAAGUUGCAGAGGAAAGGUGGCAAGAAAGGGCGAUAAGGCAUUCACCCUCCUGGCUUUCAGACCUCAGCCUUAUCUAAGGACCUCACAGAGAAAAAUCCUUCUCAGAUGGAAUCAUUUGUUAACUAUCCAUUUGUACCAUUUCUUUGUAGAGGCUUCCAAAUAAGAGAGGGAGAGAAUACAGAGCAAGUGCUUGCCCCUUGGUGCAUCCGCAAGCUUAGUCCCUAUCAGAGACGCAUCAGCGAAAUUGGUUUCCCAGGCCCCAGAGGCUGCUAACCUUGCUGAAAAGCAUUUUUAAAAUUUGUAUCUGUAAGGAGUACUUUAAAGGUGGUAAUUAACCAUAGUAGUUACUCAUCCCUCUCCCUCCCCCAUUCUGUACUGGCCAACUGACCCUUGAGUGAAGUGAUCUCAGCCAGCAGGCUUGAGCACCUAGGCUCCCCAUCUGUUGAGGUUUUUCAUUAAGGAGAGUGAAGUGUGGGUGUAUGAAUAACAAAGGAGAAACCCAACAUUCUAAAAAAGUGUUUCUCUUCUUGACCUGGGGGAGCCAGAAGCCUGUUUACACCAUGGAUAUUCAAGGGACAUCCCAGGCCUGUUUAGACUUUAUCCUGAGAAUUAGUUGAAACUGCCUCCUGAAGUCAAGAAUGGGUUAAUCCCAGUUACAGAAUCCAGGAAGGUCCUCUUCAUCUGGCAACUCUUGGCAUUACUCUGGUCCUUCUUUCAGAAACUGUAGGAAAAGAACAAGAUGAACAGCAGUUCAUAUUAAGUAAAUAAAAAGAGACAGAAGGCUCCAGUUCCCACAGGCCUAUAGUCUGAUUACUUCAGGGCACUGCAACUUUCUAGAGAGGGGAUGUAGCUAUGGCUUGGGUGAGCAGGCCUAUUCCUUGACACUUCAGGCACAGGGAAGUGAGGCUGAGUCGCCAGCUGCACCCACAGCACCUCUGAGAACUGGCUUUCGUGGAGCUCUCUUGUAGAAGGGUCUGGAUGGAGAGAACAAACAGGGUAGAUGAAUCCUGUGCACUUACUGCAUUGGUGAUGCUGGUGGUAGAGAAGAUCAUUACAGAGGAUGAAAUCUUAGUUAUCACUGCUCCCUUGUCUUCUACUCCAGCUACAAAGCCCUUUAUUUUGGGUGCCCAGAGUUGCCCAAAUGCAUUUAUUAUUAUAUGCCUGGCCCAAAACCCAUGCCUAAACAUUUCAUUCAGGUCUCAUACUCACCUUGGCAAGUUGGGAAAGUACAAAGACAAUUCAAAGAUCCAUUUUCAGGCCAGGCCCAGCCUUCUGAAGCACAGUAAACAAAAGGUUUCCACACAUGAAGAGCCAAGGUUAAUGGAUGUCCAGUCAUGUGCAGUAGAAGCAGGUGAUGGGUUCCCAGAAGAUCAGCCUGGUGGGAGAUACUACACAAGUCUUGUCCCAGAUCUUGUGGUAAAAUCUCUUCUUCCUGCUCAUUGCUCAGUCGUGACUCUUUGCUACUCUGUGGACUGUAGCCUCUCAGGCUCCUCUGUCCAUGGGAUUUCCCAGGCAAGAAUAUUGGAGUGGGUUGCCAUUUCCUCCUCCAGAGCGGUUCCUCCUACUUCGGAGCAAGUCCGGGCCAGCUGGGAUCCGACCAGAAACCGCAAGCGGAGGAGACGCGGGUACGCAAGCGGAGCGGUAACGGAGGGCGCGACCUGCCGCCCUGCGCUCUGCCGCGCCAGGCCCGAGGGUCGCGCCGCCCGGUCUUCCCCUCGCCAGGGACGGCAGCCGCCCAGCAGCCCCGCCCGCGGGCCAGGCAGGGCGCCGGGUGCCCCGAGCCUCCCGGCCCCACCUCCACGCCCCACCUCCGCGCACUUCGCGCUUGCCCCAGUGACACCCUUCACCGCUGCUGUCCCCCUAGAAAGGGACAAACCCGUCUCUGAAGGCAGGACGAGAAAAAACCUCAAUAGGUGGGAAGGUUCUUGCAAACACUUUUAUUUAAGAGUUUUAUAAAGGAUGUCCUGAGGGAUCAGAAUUCAGGGGAGACGCUGAACGAAUUCUCUCAUUGUCCUUCAGGACUAUUUCCUAUUUGUAUGGGAGGAAGGAGGUUAAGAGCCCCUGUUGAACUUGGAACUAAACUUGAAUGCCAUUUAAAAUAACCAUUAAAAUACACUUAAAACACUAACCACAAUGAUAUGCCUCUUCUUUCUUUUGUGAUAUGAGGGAAGGCUUGGAGUAGUUUUACUUUAGCUCUUGGGGGUUCAUUUUAGAAACACCAUAAAGGAGCAGACGACAGCUGGGGGCGAGGGGCAGGCCUCAGUCAGAGCUGUUCACAGCAGGAAGGCCUGGGUGAGUGGGUGGGGAAGCACCCCCUCUCCAGUGGCACCCGCUGUCCUCUUUGUCAUAAAUUCUAAGACAGUUCUGGGCUACCCUCUCUUUUUAACUUUUGUUCUCAGUGAUAUGAGAUGGGAAGUUUCUCAAGUUAAUGUGUUGUCUCAGCCCACAGUAAAGAGCCCCUGGAGGACAGAAAGUUCCAGCUCUCUCCCUCUCCCCUCAGUCCUCUUCUCUCUCACCAUCCUCUUGGGUGGAAAUAGCUUGUUCUGGAGAAAUGUUCUACUAUCAUUUUCCUCAUGGAUAUAAGCUGAAGCCUUAAGGCCUCCACAGUGUCCUGAACUCCUCCAGCAGUUAAAAUACGGAACCUCUUGUUCUUGGUUCAGAGUCUUCUGUCUUCAGCAGUGCCUACUGAACAGUUCCUACAUGUACUGUGCUGGGCUCUGGGAUAUAAAAAUUGAGUCACUAAUGGCAUAUGCUUUUCAGUCUAC